rnacentral:rRNA from 1 species
CCUGAGAAACCCAAAAGAUCGAAUGGGGAGAUUCAUCGUCAGCUCAUUUUGUAUAUGUAUGAGUUACGAUGCGGGUUACUUGUAGUAUUGCCUGCACGUUCUUUUACAUUUAGUUGCAAAAUGUUGUCGGCGUGCACUUCUUCCCUAGUAGGACGUCGCGACCCGUUGAGAGUUGGUCUACGGCCCAAGUUGGUAGUCUGUAAUGUUUAAAAUCAUUAUAGACCCUUGGUCUUUUCUGACCCAACUACUCGGCGGUACACGUAUGGUAUUGAGCCGCAAAAUUCAAUAUGCGUUUAUGCCCGUCGCAAGCGAGGCCAAUUUCUGGUAGUACGGACUUAGUGCCGUCGCUGGUAUUGGCCAGCUGUUGGUUGUACGGUGUUCUAGGACUGGCUUAUAUUAAUUACCGGUCAGCGAUGCUACUGCUUUGGGUACUUUCAGGACCCGUCUUGAAACACGGACCAAGGAGUCUAACAUGUGCGCAAGUCAUUGGGAUUUUUAUAAAAUUAAACCUAAAGGCAUAAUGAAAGUAAAGAUCGUCCUUGCGUCGAUUGAGGGAGGAUGAGUUGUGUUAUGAUACAUCUCCGCACUCCCGGGGCGUCUCAUUCUUAUUAUAAGAAGAGGCGCACCUAG